rnacentral:sRNA from 1 species
UUACAGUGUCACCCAAGCGACUGGGAGCCGCGUCCCGCUCUAGGACUGAGCCGUUGGAGCUGCCCCGCUGACCGCACUAGGCUGACCACAACCGGCCGACCAAACACACUCCUCACUCUCCUGGCCCUGGUGGGCGGCAGGCACCAUGGCGCAGACGGAUGUGCUCCUAACCAAAGAGCCGGCCCCGCAGACGGUGCCGCCCUGCGAGCUGCCCUGCAAAGAGUACGACGUGGCCCGCAACACGGGCGCCUACACGUCCUCCGGCCUGGCCACCGCCGGCUUCCGCACCUCCAAGUACUUGCCGGAGGAGUGGUUUCAGAACUGCUAUGCUCGCUACCACCAGGCCUUCGCCGACCGCGACCAGUCGGAGCGGCAGCGGCACGAGAGCCAGCAGCUGGCCGCAGAGACCCAGGCGCUGGCGCAGCGCACGCAGCAAGACUCCACGCGCACGGUGGGCGAGCGACUGCAGGACACGCACGGCUGGAAGUCGGAGCUGCAGCGCGAGGUGGAAGCGCUGGCUGCGGAGACCGACCUGCUCCUGGCCCAGAAGCAACGGCUGGAACGCGCCCUGGACGCCACUGAGGUGCCCUUCUCCAUCGCCACUGACAACCUGCAGUGCCGCGAGCGCCGCCAGCACCCCAACCUCGUGCGCGACCAUGUGGAGACGGAGCUGCUGAAGGGCCUUCCCCCUGCACCCUCUGUGCCUCAAGAACUCCUGCAGCUCCCACAAACCCUCUGCCUGCAACAAGGGCACCUGCCAAGUGAUGGAGACACUGACAGUGCAGGAACAGGCAAACCCAGGGACAGAGGGGUGCAGGACUCGGGCCCUGGCACACAACGAGGUAGCCGGUGGUCGAGGCAAAGACGCCAAUCACAGGGGAAAGGCUUGUUCCUACACACAGAAAAUUAAACUGGCCAGGCAGUAAGAAGAAACACAGGGUCCUUCUCCUAUUCUUGGUGUGAGGAUGGCCUUUCCCAGCACAGAGCCCUGAGGGGCAGCCUGGGCGGGCAUCUGGCCCCCAGAGUUUGGGUCCUCAGGGGCUGUCCAGAGGCCAGGGGAAGGCCAACGUUCCUGGGUGCACUGAGUGAGCAGCAGUGAUGACUCCUGAAGCCUGGGGCGUGGGAACUGCUGCUGAGGGACCUUCCCAGCAGCCCAUAGAAGGCCCUGGAGGAAAACACCCCACUUACAACGCAACAAGAAGAAUGCCCAAAAGCCCAAGAUAAACCCAGUGAGAGAGCAGAACUUGCACAGUCAGAGCUCAGGCCCGGCAUUCUACUCCUUGUGGUUGCUCAGGUGUUGACCAAGGCCUGCAGCAGCUGGGCCUCCUGGGAUCCUGACCAGGGACCGGCUCUGGUGCUCAGGGCUUCUCCUCCCUCAGGAAGCCGAGCUCAUCCGGAACAUUCAGGAGCUGCUGAAGAGAACCAUCAUGCAAGCAGUGAGCCAGAUCCGACUGAACCGGGAGCACAAGGAGACCUGCGAGAUGGACUGGUCGGACAAGGUGGAGGCCUACAACAUCGACGAGACCUGCGGGCGCCACCACAGCCAGAGCACCGAGGUGCAGGCUCAUCCGCACUCCACCACCUUCCAAGAGAGCGCCUCCACCCCAGAGACCUGGGCCAAGUUCACGCAGGACAAUCUGUGCCGCGCCCAGCGCGAGCGCCUGGCCUCGGCCAACCUGCGGGUGCUGGUGGACUGCAUCCUUCGAGACACCUCCGAGGACCUGCGGCUCCAGUGCGACGCCGUGAACCUGGCCUUCGGGCGCCGCUGUGAGGAGCUGGAGGACGCGCGGCACAAGCUGCAGCACCACCUGCACAAGACGCUGCGGGAAAUCACAGAUCAGGAGCACAACGUGGCGGCACUGAGGCAGGCCAUCAAGGACAAGGAGGCACCUCUGCACGUAGCCCAGACCCGGCUGUACCUGCGCUCGCACCGGCCCAACAUGGAGCUGUGCCGCGACGCAGCCCAGUUCAGGCUGGCGAGUGAGGUGGAGGAGCUGAACAUGUCCCUCACAGCGCUGCGGGAGAAGCUUCUAGAAGCGGAGCAGUCCCUGCGCAACCUCGAGGACACCCACAUGAGCCUGGAGAAGGACAUCGCUGCCUUGACCAACAGUCUCUUCAUCGACCGCCAGAAGUGCAUGGCCCAUCGUACUCGCUACCCCACCAUCCUGCAGCUGGCUGGCUACCAGUAAGCAGCGGCACAGUGCUUCCCCCCAAUCUCCCAAAUAAACAGCGCGUUAGCUUUC